CUGCCAGCAGCCAGAGGAAGUGGCCCAGGAAGCUGCUGAGGAGCCGCUGAUCGAGCCCCUGAUGGAGCCAGAAGGGGAGAGUUAUGAGGAACCGCCCCAGGAGGAGUAUCAGGAGUAUGAGCCAGAGGCGUAAGGGCCCAGGACGGCCCGCCACCAGCAGCACAAUCCCUUCCCUGUCCCCUGCCCCGACCCCCAGAACCAGGGCUGUCCUUCUACCCCUUCCCCCCAAACACGAGAUCUUCCUUUGCUCCGAGGCGCCCCCUUGGAGCCUGUGUUGGUGUCUGUCCAUCUGUCUGUCCUACCCGCCCGCGUCCAACCCUGGGGCGUGGACAGGGCCGGCGCUGCGGCCGUGGCUGGUAGCCUCGCCCCACCUAUGUUGCCUCCUCCCCACCCCAUCCCGUCCAACGUCUGCGCGGAUGUAGCAUGUUCUAUGUAUUUUUAAAUGAAGAUCAGAAAGCGACGGCUCCCCCCCCACACUCCCGACAGAGGCUCUCUGGGAGACCCCCGGGCCAGCCCCAGAGCCUCCCACCCCACUCCCACAACGACCCCAAGAAUCUUUUUUUUUUUUUAAGCCAAAACCAGGAGCCAGGCUGUGCCAUGCCCCCUCCCUCAGCCGGCCCAGUCCGAACGCGGGCGUCGUGUGUCGUGAUUGUGGCAUGGAGAGUCCCCUACCCCCCCGUGUGAGCGUGUCCUGGGUGGGCAGGCCCGGGCGCCUCCCCGCUCCGCGUGUCCACGAAUAAAGCCAAUCUGUCUGUA